rnacentral:rRNA from 1 species
AGGGAAUCUUCCGCAAUGGGCGAAAGCCUGACGGAGCAACGCCGCGUGAGUGAUGAAGGUCUUCGGAUCGUAAAACUCUGUUAUUAGGGAAGAACAUAUGUGUAAGUAACUGUGCACAUCUUGACGGUACCUAAUCAGAAAGCCACGGCUAACUACGUGCCAGCAGCCGCGGUAAUACGUAGGUGGCAAGCGUUAUCCGGAAUUAUUGGGCGUAAAGCGCGCGUAGGCGGUUUUUUAAGUCUGAUGUGAAAGCCCACGGCUCAACCGUGGAGGGUCAUUGGAAACUGGAAAACUUGAGUGCAGAAGAGGAAAGUGGAAUUCCAUGUGUAGCGGUGAAAUGCGCAGAGAUAUGGAGGAACACCAGUGGCGAAGGCGACUUUCUGGUCUGUAACUGACGCUGAUGUGCGAAAGCGUGGGGAUCAAACAGGAUUAGAUACCCUGGUAGUCCACGCCGUAAACGAUGAGCGCUAAGUGUUAGGGGGUUUCCGCCCCUUAGUGCUGCAGCUAACGCAUUAAGCACUCCGCCUGGGGAGUACGACCGCAAGGUUG